UCGAGGGGCCGCGCGGGGAAAAGCGGCAGCGCCACCAGAGUCAGCGGUAACCACGAGGGGUCACCGGAGACAUCCCGUGGACCGUCAGUCCCGAUGAUCCGACGGCCGGCGCUCCUUCUUGCGGGCCCCGCCUUCCCCCUCUUCUCCCUGUCCGCUUUCUCUUAAACCAAAAGGCCGAAGGAGAUUUGCUCAGUUCCCUCUCUCUCUCUCUCUCUCUCUCUCCCUCACGCACACACACACACACACUCUCUCUCUGGUGCGAUUGUCAUCAUUUCCGGCUGUAGAGAACCUCGUUCUAUGAUUUUGGAACUGCAUCUCGUUAGGCUGCAUUCUCUCCUUCUCUUGCCAUAAUUGGAGAAGCUAUGGAUCCACUUGAAGAUUUGUCAAUUUUCAUGAACGGGUUUAAAGUAGAAGAGACCUUCCAGGAUGUUCCCUUAAUUCUAUCCGAUCCUCCUCCCUCAAAUUUUCCUGCUCCUCCCUGCACUUAUGCUUCUUCUGUGCCGCCCACGGAUAGUGAGCCUCCUGAUGACUGUGAAUUGCUGUCUGACGUGCUUCUGAACUAUAUAAGAGAGAUGCUAAUGGAUGAGAAUGUCGAGGAACAAAGUUAUGUGUAUGAAGAAAAUUCUGCUCUUCAAGCUGCUGAGAAACCUUUCUAUGAUAUACUUGGUGAAAAGUAUCCACCAUAUCCUGAUCAUCACCCGCUGUACCAAGGUGAUGGUCCAGAGAGCCCUGAUGAUGGUAGCUGUUCAACCGCGGAUGCCACAAAUAGCCAUCAAGCUGGUAGUCAUAUCAGUGGCGGCAGCAGCAGCAGCAGUGGGAGCGAUUCUCACUGGACACCUGAUCAUGUUGCAUAUCCCCACCCGAAUGAGUUGGUUUCCCCUGUUUCUACUCUCUCAUUAAAUUACUCGGGCAAGUCAUCUUUUAACUCCCCGUUGGGUAGCAGACUUGAUGAAGUAGAAGGGUGCAGGGAGACCUUGGUAGAAAAUUUUCGGCUUCCUGACUUCUUUGAUGAGUCUCAUGUUUGGCAAUUUAGAAAAGGAAUGGAGGAAGCAAGCAAAUUCCUUCCAAAUGGUAGCAUAUCAUUCAACCUUCAAAUGAAUGGAUUACCUCCAGACUCUAAGCUGGAAGUGAAGGAAGUUCUUCCCAAUGGUAACUUUGUGAUUGACACAGAAAACAAUGUGUCGGUCCAAGAAUCAAAAGCUGGCGGAAAGUUUACUUCCAACAGAACCUCGAUGGUUAAUCCUAACAGUAGUAAGCAGGAGUUCGAAAAAGAUGUAACCAAGUGUCUUCCCAAUGGUAAUGCGGUGGUUAAUCUAGAAAACAAUGCAUUACCUAGAGCUGCAAAACUGGAAGCCAAUAAUUUUCUGCCAAAUGGUAAUGUGGUACUCAACCAAGAAGACAAUGCAUCGCCUAGAGUUUCAAAGCAGGAAGCAAAUAAUUUUCUACCAAAUGGUAAUUUGUUACUCAACCUGGAAAAGCAAGAGGCAGUGCAUGAUUUGAAGCUGGGUAUUAACAACAUCAACAUCAAAGUGGAGAAAAGGGAUGAAAGGGAGUCCUUGAUCGUGAAAUCUACAGAUGAUAAUGAUCAGAAUGGAUUUAGAGGGCAUAAGAACCCUCACAGUGAAGACUCAGAAUUAGAAGUGGGAAGGAGUAACAAGCACUCAGCAAUCAGCUUCUCUUCAGAUACUAUUCGGUCAGAAAUGUUUGACCAGGUCCUGUUAUGUAGAAAAGGUAAAUGCGUUGAGUUGGUAACCAAUCUUCGAGAAGCUAUGCAGAAUAGCUUGGGUAAAAAUGUGCAGAAUGGGCAUUCAAAAGGAUCUAGUGGCACAAAGUCUCGUGGUAAAAGGCAGGGCAAAAGGGAAGUUGUGGACCUAAGGGCUCUCCUUAUUCAUUGUGCUCAAGCUGUAGCCACAGACGAUCGUCGAAGUGCAAAUGAGCUUUUAAGACAAAUCCGGCAGCAUUCUUCCCCUUAUGGUGAUGGUACACAGCGAUUAGCUCAUUGCUUUGCAGAAAGCUUAGAAGCACGUUUAUCUGGUACAGGAGGCAAUAUCUAUUAUAACCUGAAAACUAAAAGAAAUUCGGCUGCCAGCAUCUUGAAAGCACACCAAUUAUAUCUAGCUGCUUGCCCUUUCAAGAGGAUCUCUCAUUACCUAUCGAACCAGACUACCUUGAAUGUCGCUGAGAAUGCAACCAAGCUGCAUAUCAUUGAUUUUGGUAUCCUAUAUGGGUUUCAGUGGCCAAGCUUCAUCCAGCGUCUUUCAGCAAGGCCUGGUGGUCCUCCAAGACUUCGUAUAACAGGAAUUGAUUUUCCUCAACCUGGUUUCAAGCCUGCUGAAAGGAUUGAGGAGACUGGGUGUCGAUUAUCAGAAUAUGCCCGCAUGUUCAAUGUCCCAUUUCAGUAUAAGGCAAUAGCAUCCAAGUGGGAGAAUGUUGAAAUUGAGGACCUUGAUUUGGAUGAUGGUGAGGUCUUGGUUGUCAAUUGCUUGUAUAGAAUGAGAAAUCUGCCUGAUGAGACUGUAUCUGUAGAUUGUCCAAGGGACAUAGUGCUCAACAAGAUCAGGAAGAUGAACCCAAAAGUUUUUAUCCUUGGCAUAAUUAAUGGAGCAUAUAGCGCUCCUUUCUUCACAACACGAUUCCGUGAGGCACUAUUCCAGUACUCUGCAUUUUUUGAUAUGCUUGAGACUAACACUCCCCGGGAUCAUCCUGAAAGGAUUCUGAUAGAAAGAGAAAUAUUUGGCCGAGAGGUCUUGAACAUCGUUGCAUGUGAGGGCUCAGAGAGGAUUGAGAGGCCAGAGGUCUACAAACAGUGGCAGGUUCGAAAUCAGAGAGCUGGAUUUGUGCAACUCCCUUUGAACCAGGAUAUAAUGCAGAAAUCAAGGGAAAAAGUAAAGCAUAUAUACCACAAGGAUUUCAUGGUUGAUGAGGACAGUCAGUGGUUGCUGCAGGGCUGGAAAGGAAGGAUACUACAGGCUCUCUCUACAUGGGCGCCCAGCAAGAACCGUCAUGACUACUAAGCCUUUCUUAAGUUUCUUUUACUGGAGCCUUCUUUCUUUCAUUUCUUGCAAGAUAUUAUAUCCAUGAGAUGUACCUGAAACGUAAGGAUAUAUGCGUUGAAUUCUGCAUAAAUAUUGAAGAUGACGUAGGCCUUGCUAGAGGGUAAGAUGUAGAUAAAUUUUGCAAAAUCGACCUCUCCAGUUUUGUGGUUGCGAUAUGGAAAAGGUGGCAUGCAUAAGGAUGGGAGAGGAGGGGAUGAGUGCCACCAGUUUUGAGCUUGACAAAGCAAGAGAGGAUAGGGCUGGUGAGAAGAGAAACCUAAGCCACUAUGUUUCAAUUUCUGAGUUCUAAAGCCCAGGACCUUGAAAUGAGGGCAGUCGACAGGGAACCACUGGGAUAACGUUAAGGUGUCUGCAACGUUCUGGUCUUUUAGAACUUUUCCCGCCAAGGGAAAGAGAGCAAGAGAGAGAGAGAGAGAUCAUGAAUUUAUAGUGUAGUUCAUAUUUAAUAAAGCAUCCCUUUAUUUA